UAGAAAGGCACUGAACACAAGGCUGAGCAUGGGCUGUGUGUCUGUUACCCAGAGAUCAGCCUAGAGAAGUGUAAAGAAGCUUGUCACUGAAUUUGGUGAUGAAGUUUUCAGCCACUGCAACUCUUAGUGACUUGUAGAAGGAUUGUAUUCUGCGUUUAUGAAGGGAGUAGCCAUAGUGACUAAAUUAGAGUCCCUGCCUCCUAUUUUUUUUUUUUGACCGGACCUUGAAUUCAUUGCUAUAAGAAAUUUUCAGUGAGGAAACUCAAUUUACCAGCACAGCUGGCCUCUAUCAUCACUCCUUGAAACCAGACUCUAAAGAAAACAGGGAUUCCAGGAUGGAAGGUGAGGAAAGAGCAAAGGCAUGGAGAGAGAUACAAUGUUGUGGGUAUGAGUUGUGAGUAGGCCAGUACGGCUGGACCACAGAGCAUGAAGAGUUCACCAAACCUCUGAAAUCUAUCUACUGACCAAAGAGUCUGCGGGCCACAGGUUAAGAACUCUUGUUACAAGAGAAGGAAGGGCAAGAGAAAAGGAAUGAAAACUUAGUUCUCCUGCGUGCUGACAGUCGGCAUACAUCCUCCAGCUCCAGAAGAAAAAAGACAAAAGAAGCUUUCCAUCAAGCCCCACCAAACGUUAAAAAGUAAGAAUGUGCCAAAUAGCCUUUGCUGCUUCCAUCCUCAAAUGACUUCA